GCAGAAAAACGCUAGAGCAUGUGCUUGCGCAUAACUGGGGCCGCCUGGCCCCCCGCGGGCGGCCCUUUUAACCGCGAGCGACAAUA
ensembl:snoRNA